rnacentral:rRNA from 1 species
AAGGAAUAUUGGUCAAUGAGCGAAAGCUUGAACCAGCCAUGCCGCGUGCAGGACGACUGCCCUAUGGGUUGUAAACUGCUUUUAUACGGGAAUAAACCCCGCUACGUGUAGUGGGCUGAAUGUACUGUAAGAAUAAGGAUCGGCUAACUCCGUGCCAGCAGCCGCGGUAAUACGGAGGAUCCAAGCGUUAUCCGGAUUUAUUGGGUUUAAAGGGUGCGUAGGCGGCCUAUCAAGUCAGAGGUGAAAGACGGUAGCUCAACUAUCGCAGUGCCUUUGAAACUGGUGGGCUUGAAUGUACUUGAGGUGGGCGGAAUGCGACAAGUAGCGGUGAAAUGCAUAGAUAUGUCACAGAACCCCGAUUGCGAAGGCAGCUCACUAAAGUAUGAUUGACGCUGAUGCACGAAAGCGUGGGGAUCAAAC